rnacentral:tRNA from 1 species
AAUGAAGUGCCUGAUUAAAAGGGCUAUCUUGAUAGGAUAGAUUAUGUGGGUCACCACCUUCAUUA